AUACGUAGGGGGCGAGCGUUGUCCGGAAUGAUUGGGCGUAAAGGGCGCGUAGGCGGCCCGGUAAGUCUGGAGUGAAAGUCCUGUUUUUGAGAUGGGAAUUGCUUUGGAAACUGUCGGGCUUGAGUGCAGGAGAGGUAAGUGGAAUUCCCAGUGUAGCGGUGAAAUGCGUAGAGAUUGGGAGGAACACCAGUGGCGAAGGCGACUUACUGGACUGUAACUGACGCUGAGGCGCGAAAGUGUGGGGAGCAAACAGGAUUAGAUACCCUGGUAGUCCACACUGUAAACGAUGAAUGCUAGGUGUAGGGGGUAUCGACCCCUUCUGUGCCGCAGUCAACACAAUAAGCAUUCCGCCUGGGGAGUACGGCCGCAAGGUUGAAACUCAAAGGAAUUGACGGGG
rnacentral:rRNA from 1 species